CCUACGGGAGGCAGCAGUGGGGAAUCUUGCGCAAUGGGGGCAACCCUGACGCAGCCAUGCCGCGUGAAUGAUGAAGGCCUUAGGGUUGUAAAGUUCUUUUGCCCGUGACGAUGAUGACGGUAACGGGAGAAUAAGCUCCGGCUAACUUCGUGCCAGCAGCCGCGGUAAUACGAAGGGGGCUAGCGUUGUUCGGAAUUACUGGGCGUAAAGCGCGCGCAGGCGGUUCGAUAAGUUAGGGGUGAAAUCCCUGGGCUCAACCCAGGAAUGGCCUUUAAGACUGUCGAGCUAGAGGACGAGAGAGGUGAGUGGAAUUCCCAGUGUAGAGGUGAAAUUCGUAGAUAUUGGGAAGAACACCGGUGGCGAAGGCGGCUCACUGGCUCGUUUCUGACGCUGAGGCGCGAAAGCGUGGGGAGCAAACAGGAUUAGAUACCCUGGUAGUCCACGCCCUAAACGAUGAGUGCAGUGUCGGAGACUAGUCUCUCGCGCGCAGCUACGACCUACGCNCUCCGCCGUCGGGAGGUACGGCCGCGAACGGUAAACGUACAAUAGAUAGACGGCGUGAGACGNGCCGACGGCGACGACGAGGGAGUAGG
rnacentral:rRNA from 1 species